CACGGGGGGGAGCAAGCGUUGUUCGGAAUUACUGGGCUUAAAGCGCACGUAGGCGGCGUCGUAAGUGUCGGGUGAAAUCCCACGGCUCACCCGUGGAACUGCCCGGCAUACUGCGACGCUAGAGUGUGGUAGGGAAGAGCGGAACUCCUGGUGGAGCGGUGAAAUGCGUAGAUAUCAGGAGGAACACCGGUGGCGAAGGCGGCUCUUUGGUCCACAACUGACGCUGAGGUGCGAAAGCCAGGGGAGCAAACGGG
rnacentral:rRNA from 1 species